AUGGGCAGCAGGGAGCAGCAGCGCGGCCGCAGGGACCGCUUCAUCGUCAUCCCCUUCUCCGCCUGCCGCUCCGCCGCCAGCGUCGACGUCGUCCAGUCCAAGAAGCCCCAAGGUGCUGGCGGUGGCGGCGAGGGGACGUCGUCGUCGGCCGCGCCGGGGAUUAAGCCGGCCAAGGGGGAGUCGCUGUCGCUGGUGGCGCGGCUGCUGCGGGGGUUCAAGAACCUGUCCCACCAGAUCUUCGCGGUGUACGACGAGGAGGACGAGGACGAGGAGGAGCCGGAGAUGGUGAUCGGGCUCCCCACGGACGUCAAGCACGUCGCGCACAUCGGCUGGGACGGCAGCACCAGCACCACCUCCAGCGUCCGCUCCUGGAACCGCGCCGCCCCUCCUCCUGGCACCGCCGCUCCGGCCGCCGCGUCGGCGUCCACCUCAGCCUCAGCCUCCACCUCCUCCGCCGCUCCUCCACCGCCACAGGCGCAGCCUCCGGCGCUGUCCGCGCGGCAGUUCGAGCUCGCCAUGGCCGCGCAGGCGUCCGCCGCGGCCACAGCCGCAUCCGCGGCCGGCACCAGCGGCGCCCCCCGGCGCCACCACCACUACAGCUAG
rnacentral:rRNA from 1 species